ACUCUUUUAAUACGUUAUAACUGAGGCUCUCAACAACAAUUCUGAGUUGUUUGAACUGCAGAAACCUGUUUAGAAUGAUCUUAAUGAAUAACGCAACAAGGACGAAGCAUGUAAACUGAGUUGUUUAUUCAGAACAGAACGGAUCCGAAUGAAGAAACGUAAAAAAAAAAAA